rnacentral:rRNA from 1 species
UACGGAGGGUGCAAGCGUUAUCCGGAUUCACUGGGUUUAAAGGGUGCGUAGGUGGGCAGGUAAGUCAGUGGUGAAAUCUCCGGGCUUAACCCGGAAACUGCCAUUGAUACUAUCAGUCUUGAAUACCGUGGAGGUAAGCGGAAUAUGUCAUGUAGCGGUGAAAUGCUUAGAUAUGACAUAGAACACCAAUUGCGAAGGCAGCUUACUACCCGAAUACUGACACUGAGGCACGAAAGCGUGGGGAUCAAACAGG